GCACCCGUAGCUCAGCUGGAUAGAGUGUCGCCCUCCGAAGGCGAAGGUCACAGGUUCGAAUCCUGUCGGGUGCGCCA
rnacentral:tRNA from 54 species